rnacentral:rRNA from 1 species
CUACCAUGCAGUCGACGGAGCACCCUUGAUUGAGGUUUCGGCCAAAUGAUAGGAAUGCUUAGUGGCGGACUGGUGAGUAACGCGUGAGGAACCUGCCUUUCAGAGGGGGACAACAGUUGGAAACGACUGCUAAUACCGCAUGACGCAUAGAGGUCACAUGACCUUUAUGUCAAAGAUUUAUCGCUGAAAGAUGGCCUCGCGUCUGAUUAGAUAGUUGGCGGGGUAACGGCCCACCAAGUCGACGAUCAGUAGCCGGACUGAGAGGUUGACCGGCCACAUUGGGACUGAGAUACGGCCCAGACUCCUACGGGAGGCAGCAGUGGGGAAUAUUGGGCAAUGGGCGCAAGCCUGACCCAGCAACGCCGCGUGAAGGAAGAAGGCUUUCGGGUUGUAAACUUCUUUUAAGUGGGAAGAGCAGAAGACGGUACCACUUGAAUAAGCCACGGCUAACUACGUGCCAGCAGCCGCGGUAAUACGUAGGUGGCAAGCGUUGUCCGGAUUUACUGGGUGUAAAGGGCGUGCAGCCGGGCAUGCAAGUCAGAUGUGAAAUCUCAGGGCUUAACCCUGAAACUGCAUUUGAAACUGUAUGUCUUGAGUGCCGG